rfam:Populus trichocarpa scaffold_8_contig_11, whole genome shotgun sequence.
UAAUCUAUUUAAAAUAAUUUAUCAUUUAAUUAUGACAAACCCUCAUUUUGACCGUACAAAAUUGCCCAUUGUGGCAAACUCAAAUUGUAGAACCUUACAUCGCUUACCAUAUGAGGAAGAAGCACACGUACGGCCAGAUAUAUGUGAGUAGCAG